CCUACGGGAGGCAGCAGUGGGGAAUAUUGCACAAUGGGGGAAACCCUGAUGCAGCGACGCCGCGGGAGUGAAGAAGUAUAUCGGUACGUAAAGCUCGAGCAGCAGGGAAGAAAAGGACGGUACCUGACUAAGAAGCAACGGCUAACGAAGUGCCAGCAGCCGCGGUAAUACGGAGGGGGCAAGCGUUAUCCGGAUUUACUGGGUGUAAAGGGAGCGUAGACGGCAGCGCAAGUCUGGAGUGAAAUCCCAUGGCUUAACCAUGGAACUGCUUUGGAAACUGUGAAGCUGGAGUGCAGGAGAGGUAAGCGGAAUUCCUAGUGUAGCGGUGAAAUGCGUAGAUAUUAGGAGGAACACCAGUGGCGAAGGCGGCUUCCUGUACUGUACCUGACGUUGAGGCUC
rnacentral:rRNA from 1 species